UACGUAGGGUGCAAGCGUUGUCCGGAAUUAUUGGGCGUAAAGAGCUUGUAGGCGGUUUGUCGCGUCUGCUGUGAAAUUUCGGGGCUCAACCCCGAACUUGCAGUGGGUACGGGCAGACUAGAGUGUGGUAGGGGAGACUGGAAGUUCCUGGUGUAGCGGUGAAAUGCGCAGAUAUCAGGAGGAACACCGAUGGCGAAGGCAGGUCUCUGGGCCACUACUGACGCUCAGGCACGAAAGCGUGGGGAGCAAACAGG
rnacentral:rRNA from 1 species